GCCAUCGCCGGUAGUUCUCUAGAGUUGCGCCACUCCUGACACCAUGUACUAUUGGGUUCUUAGUGAGAGACACCGAGAGGCCUUCUACCCUUGCACACGACUCUAUUCACCUCUCAAAGCCCCCAGGCUAAACCAUACUCUUAAUUAAGCAAACUGCCAUUCUAGUUUCGUUUCGUUCCCACUUCUACGACGCAUGCGUAUUUCACCUAUGCUUACUAUGGCUGCAGGUGCUGACAAUCUAUUUGUGAGGAAACGGGAAGGAAUUUUUGUUUGCAGAUUUAGCUUUGAGAGCGAAGAAACUGUUUGAUGAGAAAGACUCUCUAGAGCAGCUGAAACAAGUCAGGUCUACCGCCAAUUUCUGUUGCUCUACGAAACAACAGAACGUCAACCGAGAGCUAAGGCGAUAGGUGUCUUUGGCCCACUGAAGACAAACUGGAAUUCCACCCUCCAGAAGUAAAAAGACAUACAAUUAAAAGCAGACAGAGUAUACAGGUGUACUUUCCCAAUUUUGUUGGCUAAGGAAUUCACCCACUAUCAUCAGCAGCCAUUCCUGACUCAAAGCUAGCCAUCACUUUCUUAUCUUUUUGACAACAAUUACACAGAAGUAGCUGCAACCACUCGAGGUUUACAAGAAACAUCAGUGCAACGUCAGAUUCACCACUACUUUGCUGAGCUUUUUUUUGAAGCCUGUUGAAAAGCCAUCACAAGAAGAAAAGAUCAAGGAAAGAAGCUUAGAGUGCUGCCAUUUCAUGCAGGAGCAAUCUUGACAUCAGACACCUUCGUAGAAAGACUGAAAGAAAACAACACCAUAAGUACAUAAAACAAUGCAAACGAAAGGCACCAACAAAAGAAUUAGAAGCAUGCCAAGCUAAUUAGGAAGAGACAUGUAUGUACAACAUGGUGAAAGCCACGAUGAUGACGCCCUGUGUGGUGGAUGUAGACAAUUUUACUACCAAGACACUAAAAGGACAAAGAAGGUUGGAUCGGCUGUGACAAACAGGGCUGCAAUCAAUGGUAUCACUACUGUUGUGCUAUUAAACCUCGACGAAAUGUCUGAUUUGAGCAAAUUUUGGACUUUUCCAGACUGUGAAGACUGUUGACAGAUGUUAUAUGUUUUUUUAAAAACAGUUUAAUUAAACAUAGCGAGACAGGGCAUGAAGCUGAAACAGUAGCUGCAUGUCCAACAUUAGAUAACUAUGUUAGAAAUCAAUAAGUGUGACAUGCCUUCAUUAUUUGUAAAUAUAUCAAAGUUUUAACGGUAACUUCUGGCUUGUUAGUGUUGUCGCAAUACCACUGACAUGUAAAGGUAAACCAACCAUAAACGAGCAGCGGAACUUACUCUUUCAUAUUAUAGGAUCGAGCAACAUGUGAUUGUGUAAAAGGUGUCCAACAUUAGGGUACUUAUAAUUAAAAAAAUAACAUGUACAUCCACAGUGAGACCA